GAUCUUUUUCUUCUGAUAUUUUCAUCUCCACUUGUAUAAAUCCACCACUCAUUAAUCUUCACCAACAAAUUUCAUAUCAACCCCCUUAUCCGUCUACCUAUCUAUCAAACCCUAUACCCUCACACCACAAAUGGCAACCAUGGCUACAACCCUAACCUCAUCUCUCUCCUCAAACCCUAAACACUCUUUCUUCGAAAACAAAUCCUCCUUCCAUGGCUCCCCCAUCUCCUCAAAAACCCUCUUCCCCAUCAAAUCCGCCCCAGAAAACCUCUGCAUCACCAUGUCCGCCGCCACGCCGCCCUACGACCUCGACAACUUCAAAUUCAACCCCAUCAAGGAAUCCAUUGUUUCCCGCGAAAUGACGCGUAGAUACAUGACAGACAUGAUUACCUACGCGGACACCGACGUAGUUGUCGUCGGAGCCGGCUCUGCCGGACUCUCAUGCGCUUAUGAACUCUCCAAAAACCCUAACAUAAACAUCGCUAUCAUCGAACAAUCCGUCAGCCCCGGCGGCGGUGCAUGGCUCGGAGGACAGCUGUUCUCCGCCAUGAUUGUACGUAAACCGG
rnacentral:lncRNA from 1 species